rnacentral:misc_RNA from 1 species
GUUUUUUUCAGCAUUCCAUAAAAUUCCUGUAGAGGUAUAAUAAUUGUACAAGAAUUUUUUUUCCUUGUGAAAACUGAAAAAUGGUUUCCAAUGUCUUCUAUUUAUUUGUAAAAUUUUUAAAUUUAGCAACUGCUUACAAUAUUUUCUUUAAUCUUAAGUUGCUAGGUUAUAUAAAGUCAGAAUGUCUGUUUGUAUCUGUCUCACGGUGGCGUUUUGAUGAAUCUGAUAGCAUGAAUUUUUUUAUAGUGUAAACCUUCAAUUUUUUGAGGUUCUAUUUUGAUGAAUGCA